rnacentral:rRNA from 1 species
GACGAACGCUGGCGGCGUGCUUAACACAUGCAAGUCGGACGGAAAGGCCCUGCUUUUGUGGGGUGCUCGAGUGGCGAACGGGUGAGUAACACGUGAGUAACCUGCCCUUGACUUUGGGAUAACUUCAGGAAACUGGGGCUAAUACCGGAUAGGAGCUCCUGCUGCAUGGUGGGGGUUGGAAAGUUUCGGCGGUUGGGGAUGGACUCGCGGCUUAUCAGCUUGUUGGUGGGGUAGUGGCUUACCAAGGCUUUGACGGGUAGCCGGCCUGAGAGGGUGACCGGCCACAUUGGGACUGAGAUACGGCCCAGACUCCUACGGGAGGCAGCAGUGGGGAAUAUUGCACAAUGGGCGGAAGCCUGAUGCAGCAACGCCGCGUGCGGGAUGAAGGCCUUCGGGUUGUAAACCGCUUUCGCCUGUGACGAAGCGUGAGUGACGGUAAUGGGUAAAGAAGCACCGGCUAACUACGUG